UUGGCCAGGCUGGUCUUGAACUCCCAACCUCAGGUGAUCCACCCACCUCGGCCUCCCAAAGUGCUGGGAUAACAGGCGUGAGCCACUGCACCUGGCCCCUUGCAUACAAUUUAGAGGAGUUUCCCCUAUGACCUAUGAGAUCUUACAAUCCUGUGAGGCACACAAAGUAGUCAGGAUAGGCUAGGUUAUACUGUGGUAACAAAACCCCCCAAAUCUCCGUUGCUUAAUACAGCAAACAUUUCUCACUCCUGCCACAUGUCUGUUGCAGGUCAGCUGUGGCUGCACCUCAUGCCAUUUUCUCCCUGGGACCCAGGUGGUUGGAGCAGCUUCCACUUGGAACAUUGCUGGUCACCCAUUUAUAUGGAAAAGGGAAGAACAGGCAUGUGAUGUCAUUUCCCCUUGCAUUUCAUUGGCAAGAGCCAAAGCCUGAUCACCAAUUGAGGUCCACGUGGAGACAUCAAGGCAUGGAUUGGAAAUGAGUCCAGAGCUCUUGGGUGAGGUCGGAGCUGGAGUAAUGGAUUCUGAGGUCAGUGGUAUAGAGACCAUCUGAGGUCAUGCGAUUGGACAAGAAUGUCAGCAUGAGAAGUGGGCCUUAGGGAACCUACUGAGAGAAGCGAGAAAGAAAACUAGAACAGGUGAUGUCAGGAAAGCCCAGCAUGGGAGGAAUGGCCAACUGUGCCAAGUGACCGAUCAACUACUGGAUUUAGCAACGGGACAUUACUGGUGAUGCCGAAUAAAGCAGUUUCCAUAAAGUAAGGGGCAGAGACAGAAGCAAACUGGGGUGUUUUUUUGAGUCGGAGUUUUGCUUUUGUUGCCCAGGCUGGAGUACAAUGGCGCAAUCUCGCUCACUACAACCUCUGCCUCCCAGGUUCAAGCGAUUCUCCUCCGUCAGCCUGCCGAGUAGCUGGGAUUACAGGCACCCACCACCACACCUGGCUCACUUUUGUAUUUUUAGUAGAGACAGGGUUUCACCAUGUCGGCCAGGCUGGUCUUGAACUCCCGACCUCAGGUGAUCUACCCACCUCGGCCUCCCAAAGUGCUGGGAUUACAGGCGUGAGCCACCACGUUUGGCCCUAUCUGGAGUGGUUUGAAGAGAUAAUGAGAGAUGAGGAAUGGAAAGUGAGACCACAGAGAACUCUGGAAAAAUUUGGCUGUGAUGGAAAAAGGAGAGGUGGAAGUUAGAGGGGCUCAUAGGGUUAAGGGAGUUGUUUUAUAUGGACAGAGUAGACAUGUCUAUAUCCUGAUGAUGAUGAUGCAGGAGAGAAGAAAUUGAUGGCAUAUCAGCUGGGUACAGUGGCUCACACCUGUUAUCCCAGCCCUUUGGGGGGCCAAGGCAGGCAGAUCAUGAGGUCAGGGGUUCAUGAUCAGUCUGGACAAGAUGGCAAAACCCCAUGUCUACCAAAAAUACAAAAAUUAGCAGGGCAUGGUGGUGCAUGACUGUAGUCCCAGCAACUCGGGAGGCUGAGGCAGGAGAAUCACUUGAAUCCAGGAGGCAGAGGUUGCAGUGAGCUGAGAUCACGCCACUGCACUCCAACCUGGGUGACAGAGCGAGACUCAGUCUCAAGAAAAAAAAAAAAAAGAAAAAAAAAUUGACAGCACAGGAGAGGACGGCAAUCAGUGAAGGAAUGCAGCCCUCUCUCCUAGAGCCCAAGGGGAGGAGCCCAGGGUGGGAAGAGGAGGGAGGACAGUCUAGAUGCCAGCAGUUUGUUAGGUUUGUUGCUGGGAAGGGCCUUCCUACCCAAUUUGCUUCUAUUUUCUCAAAGAGGUGAGAGAAAGUGGGCAGGGGUGUAGGAGGCUGAGAGGAGAGGUGGUGUGAAUGGUUGUCUCAAAGCGGAUCGCACACAAGACAGAGCAGCACAGCCAGAGAAGCUGCACCUCCCUCAAAAUUUGUUCCCAUGAGUUUAAAAUAAGAUCAGUCAGCUCCGUGGGGUGUUCCUCCUGCAGCAACGGUCAGGGGCAGGGCAGAGAGGGAGGGAGGUGGUUUAAGGGGGGAUCGGGCUUUUUCCACUCAAUAUUACAGGAAGGUGAAAAUGAGGGCUUUAGGGAGGCUUUAAGGGUUUUGUUUGUUUUGUUUUUUUUUAUAGAGACAGGGUCUCCCUCUGUCACCCAGGCUGGACUGCAGUGGUAUGAUCAUAGCUCACUGCUGCCUCCAACUUCUGGGCUUAGGCAAUCCUCUCACCUUAGCCCCCCGAGUAGCUGGGAACACGGAUGCAUGCCAUAACAUCUGGCUUUUGCUUUUUUUUUUUUUUUUUUGGUAGAGAUGGGGGUCUUGCUAUGUUGCCCAGGCUGGUCUCGAACUCCUAGUCUCAAGUGAUCCUUGUGCCUUGGCCUCCCAAGGUGCUGGGGUUACAGGCCUAAGCUCUUGCACUCGGCCCCUGGGAUCUUUUUACUUCCUCGGCAGAGACGGGGCAGGCCUGGCACCUACAACUGUUCCUGGCCCCAAAGGGCUAGUGCACCCAGGCUGACUGCACCUGGAUCCUUCUCUCAAAUGAGGACCCCAUACUGGUUGUGGGGGAGAAGGUGGGAUAAGGGCACUCCUCCUUCAGUGCUCCCAAACAGCCCAGACCGGAAGCUCAAGGAGAUGCCCAAUUCCUACUGCCCUAGGCAGGGUCCUCCUCCCCAACCUGACACCCCCACCUGGGAAGGGACAAGCGCACAGCACCGGGUGCAAGCCUGACACGUCUGCUGGUGCUGUGGGUGCUCCAGCAGGUGGCGCUGGAGGGCGCCUCCCGAAUGGGAAGCUGGGUUGCAUCUGCAACAGCUGAGAGCUACCAGGCAGCUGGGCUCCUGGAGAACCAGUGGUGAGAUGUUGCCAUUGUGGGCCCCAUGCCCCCACCCGUGGCAUCAUCACCCCUAUCUGGGCUCUAGGAAGCCCAGUGCACAAGGCUUUGGGGCCACAUUCCUACUGGGUGACUUCCAGCUCAUCCUUCCCCUGCCUCGGGGUCCUCUCCCCUUUAUGGAGGAGAAGAGUCUCCUGUAACUAUCUAAAGAUGUUGACCGGGCACAGUGGCUCACACCUGUAAUCCCAGCACUUUGGGAGGCCGAGGCAGGUAGAUCACCUGAGGUUGGGAGUUCGAGACCAGCCUGGCCAACAUGGUGAAACCCCAUCUCUA
rnacentral:lncRNA from 10 species